rnacentral:rRNA from 1 species
AGAUUGAACGCUGGCGGCAGGCCUAACACAUGCAAGUCGAACGGUAACAGGAAGCAGCUUGCUGCUUCGCUGACGAGUGGCGGACGGGUGAGUAAUGUCUGGGAAACUGCCUGAUGGAGGGGGAUAACUACUGGAAACGGUAGCUAAUACCGCAUAACGUCGCAAGACCAAAGAGGGGGACCUUCGGGCCUCUUGCCAUCGGAUGUGCCCAGAUGGGAUUAGCUAGUAGGUGGGGUAACGGCUCACCUAGGCGACGAUCCCUAGCUGGUCUGAGAGGAUGACCAGCCACACUGGAACUGAGACACGGUCCAGACUCCUACGGGAGGCAGCAGUGGGGAAUAUUGCACAAUGGGCGCAAGCCUGAUGCAGCCAUGCCGCGUGUAUGAAGAAGGCCUUCGGGUUGUAAAGUACUUUCAGCGGGGAGGAAGGGAGUAAAGUUAAUACCUUUGCUCAUUGACGUUACCCGCAGAAGAAGCACCGGCUAACUCCGUGCCAGCAGCCGCGGUAAUACGGAGGGUGCAAGCGUUAAUCGGAAUUACUGGGCGUAAAGCGCACGCAGGCGGUUUGUUAAGUCAGAUGUGAAAUCCCCGGGCUCAACCUGGGAACUGCAUCUGAUACUGGCAAGCUUGAGUCUCGUAGAGGGGGGUAGAAUUCCAGGUGUAGCGGUGAAAUGCGUAGAGAUCUGGAGGAAUACCGGUGGCGAAGGCGGCCCCCUGGACGAAGACUGACGCUCAGGUGCGAAAGCGUGG